rnacentral:tRNA from 3 species
GCGGGUGUAGUACAAUGGUAGUACGCAUGCUUCCCAAGCAUGAUACGGGAGUCCGAUUCUCCUCGCCCGCUCCA